rnacentral:misc_RNA from 1 species
ACAUGGCUGAUUCAAGUAACCAAAUGCAAAGUGGUCCUUCGUUGGUGGAAAAACAAACUGCUGGUGCGAGGAAGAAGGGGCUAGCCAAAUCAAUGGACCCUUCUCGGGUGAGAGAAGAGUUGAGGGACGUUGAGCUUAGGAUGGCCAGAGUUGAGCAACACUUGGUCAAUAGGGAGGAUAAAUUUGAGGAGCUGGAGAACCGGCUGAUGGAGCUUGGAGACGGGAUAGAUGAGACCCGAGAAGAACUACAAGCUACACUCAAUGAAUCCCUUGACAAGGUGGCCAAUGAGAGUGAAGCCCUAAGAAUUGCCCAUGCUGAGGAAGUGUCCACCAUGAAGGAAGAGAACCGCUUGCUCAAAGAAGAGGUAGAGAAGAUGCAUGAGAACAUGAAAGACGUUCGGGAUGAACUUGUGUUGCUUAAGAGAUUGGUGGCCCAAGGAGUUGGGACCAAUCAUCAACCUACUCUCACUAUCCCUACGGCAAGGGUGGAGAUACCCAAGCCAAGCACAUUCAAGGGUGCAAGAAGCGCUAGGGAGAAGAACUUCCACAGCCCAAAGGAG